GGGGCUUAAGUCUUGUAUUGGAUGAUGGGAAUUUAAACCUCUUCCAGAGUAUCAAUUGGAGGGCAAGUCUGGUGCCAGCAGCCGCGGUAAUUCCAGCUCCAAUAGCGUAUAUUAAAAUUGUUGCAGUUAAAAAGCUCGUAGUUGAAUUUCUGCUGCAUUGCUUGUGUCCCUCUGGGGUCUGUGCAUGUGGCUUUUUUCGGACGGAGUUUCUUUGUCUGAAUGUUUACUUUGAGAAAAUUAGAGUGCUCAAAGCAGGCUUUCGCCUUGAAUAGUUUAGCAUGGAAUAAUAAAGUAGGACUUUGGUUCUAUUUUGUUGGUUUUAGGUACCAAAGUAAUGGUUAAUAGGAACAGUGGGGCUA
rnacentral:rRNA from 1 species